GAUCAAUUGAUGAGAAGAAAAAAAACUGCAACAAUAUGAAUGGAUUUAUUCCAUGAUUACUUGUAUUUAAGUCUCUGAUGAUC
rfam:Gossypium hirsutum cultivar TM-1 chromosome 14, whole genome shotgun sequence